UACGGAGGGUGCGAGCGUUGUCCGGAAUCACUGGGCGUAAAGGGCGCGUAGGUGGCCUGUGGAAGUCUGCGGUGAAAGCCCGGCGCUCAACGCCGGGUCGGCCGUGGAUACUCUCGGGCUCGAGCUUACUAGAGGCAGAUGGAAUUCCGGGUGUAGCGGUUGAAUGCGUAGAGAUCCGGAAGAACACCGGUGGCGAAGGCGGUCUGCUGGGGUAAUGCUGACACUGAUGCGCGACAGCGUGGGGAGCAAACAGG
rnacentral:rRNA from 1 species